GACGAGUCUCACGAACGUUAUUCGGAAUUACUGGGCUUAAAGGGUGCGUAGGCGGUUAAUUAAGUCGGCUGUGAAAUACCUUAGCUUAACUAGGGAACUGCACUCGAUACUACUUUGCUAGAGUAAGACAGAGGUGAGUGGAACUGAGGGUGGAGCGGUGAAAUGCGUUGAUAUCCUCAGGAACACCGGUGGCGAAGGCGACUCACUGGGUCUUUACUGACGCUGAUGCACGAAAGCUAGGGUAGCAAACGGG
rnacentral:rRNA from 1 species